GUCUGAGUUCCCAUCAGUCCCUGCCAUGUGCAUUCUUGCGGUUUCUCUCGCACAUAGAAGGCUCACGGGAAGCCUGCACACUAAAGCAGAGAACGGGAAGCGAGGGACAAAUCUGUUUCUCUGGUCUCCAUCCAGGUGACUGUGGCGCUUUGAGACCGUGUGAGCGGGAUGAUCUGUGCUUGGGCUAAACUGUCCUUGGGAACUACGCCACGCUCCCCAUCAGCCAGCCCUGACAGAGCUGGCAGUGCUCCGCACGGGCAGCAUUUUGGAGAGUCGCCGUCGAGAGGAAAGCAGGAAACGGAGAGAAGGGAUGAAAAAACAAGAAAGAAAGCAUAAAAUGAGAUCAAGUCUUUGUGUUUGUUGGAGCGGUCAGGAUGUACAGUAGCUGCUAAAUAAGAGAUGGAUAACAAAGAUUAGAACAAAAGAAAGUAAGUCAUGCAGGUUUGGAGUGACACGAGGUUUCCUUGUCACCCGUGUCGAUAGAAAAGGAUUAUGGCUGAAACAGAACAGGAAUGGAGGGAGUUUGAAAGAGAAGAGAGAAUGGAGGGGCCGCCAGAAAGGUCAUGUCCGAGCAACCAACCCACCUCGGGCAUUACUCAUUAACCUAGCAACAAGCUAAGUCCGGUAACAGUGAUGACCUGAGGGGGGAUCAAACCAGAGAGCAGCUUCACCACAUUUCUGAAAUUUUACCAUGAUCUUCUACUAAAUUCAAGCUGAGAGCCUCAAGUUAGCCAUGAAUAAUGACAACCUUGAGCUGUCCUGAGUUUAAAAUGAGUCAGCAUGAUCCGGGUCACUGAAGUGGAAACGUUUCAAAAACAAGACAAAUAUCUGAACCUCCAAAUGCCACAUAAAUUGCUUACCUCAAAGAUGAAACACUAAACUCAAAAAGACUGAAUGAGAGGCAGCUCUUUAAAGGGGAAAUGUCAAUUUCAUGCAAUCAAGAAAGAUCAUAAGAUGACUAGAUUAAGUUGUAUAAUAACCCCUUUUUGGUACCAAUUAAAUUCCUUUUAAUUUCAAUCUGCCUUUUGGCUUUUUAGAACAGCAUGAACAUGUACUGCUCUCAAUGGGCUCCAUUCAUUGAUAAAUGCAUUGAAGUGUUCUUUUGUGCACAGAGAAGGUUCUCAGAAAAAAACAGGUGCAUACCAAGGAAGUCUAUAAUACCUGGAGUCAUCUGUUAGCAUAACCAUUCAUCUCAAAGUCCCAAGACCUUCACUAGCAACUUUCCUGAGCUGUGACAUAAAAGGGCCCGCCGGCGCCUGUUCCUCUCGGUGUAACGGGACACAGUAGCAGCAGACACAGGAGCAGCAGACACAGGAGCAGCAGACACAGGAGCAGCAGACUAAGGAGCAGGUGGAGCUGGGCCUGCACCGGAUGUCGAAGCACCAGAAGAUGGAAUCACCAUUGACACAGUCAUGUCUGGGUUAAGGACUAGUGUGCCUAACAGUGACCCAGGUG
ensembl:lncRNA